rnacentral:rRNA from 1 species
AUUGAACGCUGGCGGAAUGCUUUACACAUGCAAGUCGAACGGCAGCACGGGGGCAGCCCUGGUGGCGAGUGGCGAACGGGUGAGUAAUACAUCGGAACGUGCCCGGUCGUGGGGUAUAACGUAGCGAAAGUUACGCUAAUACCGCAUACGAUCUGAGGAUGAAAGCGGGGGACCUUCGGGCCUCGCGCGAUCGGAGCGGCCGAUGUCGGAUUAGGUAGUUGGUGGGGUAAAGGCCUACCAAGCCGACGAUCGGUAGCUGGUCUGAGAGGACGACCAGCCACACUGGAACUGAGACACGGCCCAGACUCCUACGGGAGGCAGCAGUGGGGAAUUUUGGACAAUGGGCGCAAGCCUGAUCCAGCCAUUCCGCGUGCAGGACGAAGGCCUUCGGGUUGUAAACUGCUUUUGUACGGAACGAAAAGGCUCUGGCUAAUACCUGGGGCUCAUGACGGUACCGGAAGAAUAAGCACCGGCUAACUACGUG